GUCUGGAGAGCGAGACGACCGGCGCCAAGUGGCGUAUCAAAGCGACCCAGAUCGACUGCAGCCAGCGCAGCGAGCUCCGCGCCCCAACAGGCUGCACCCAGUUCUACAACGGAACAAAGGGAACGUUUGAGAGCUUCAACUUUGAAGGCGGUGCAUAUACAUUGAACCAGGACUACAACAUCUGCAUCGGCUCCUCGUUUGGCACAUGCAAGACGUCGUUCUCCUCCAGUGAGUUCAAGCUGGACAUGGUGACCUCUGCAGAUACCUCC